UAGGGAAUAUUGGUCAAUGGGCGAGAGCCUGAACCAGCCAUGCCGCGUGCAGGAAGACGGCCUUCUGGGUUGUAAACUGCUUUUAUAUGGGAAGAAAAAGGUCUUGCGAGACAAAUUGCCGGUACCAUAUGAAUAAGCACCGGCUAACUCCGUGCCAGCAGCCGCGGUAAUACGGAGGGUGCAAGCGUUGUCCGGAGUUAUAGGGUUUAAAGGGUGCGUAGGCGGGCCUUUAAGUCAGUGGUGAAAGCCUGCAGCUUAACUGUAGAUUUGCCAUUGAUACUGGAGGCCUUGAGUACAGAUAAGGUAGGCGGAAUGGAUGAUGUAGCGGUGAAAUGCAUAGAUAUCAUCAGCAACUCCGAUUGCGAAGGCAGCUUACUUGUCUGUAACUGACGCUGAGGCACGAAAGCGUGGGGAGCGAACAGGAUUAGAUACCCCCGUAGUCC
rnacentral:rRNA from 1 species